rnacentral:rRNA from 1 species
UGAGCAAUCUGCCCUUCUCAUCGGAAUAAGCGUUGGAAACGACGUCUAAUGCCGAAUACGACCUCCUUUCGCAUGAUCGGAGGUGGAAAGCUCCGGCGGAGAAGGAUGAGCUCGCGGCCUAUCAGCUAGUUGUGUGGUAAUGGCCCACCAAGGCGACGAUGGGUAGCCGGCCUGAGAGGGUGACCCGGGCCACACUGGGACUGAGACACGGCCCAGACCUCCGUAGGGA